GGCGAGUGGCGAACGGGUGAGUACUGCAUCGGAACGUGCCCAGUAGCGGGGGAUACUACGCGAAAGCGUGGCUAAUACCGCAUACGCCCUACGGGGGAAAGGGGGGGAUCUUAGGACCUCUCACUAUUGGAGCGGCCGAUAUCGGAUUAGCUAGUUGGUGGGGUAAAGGCCUACCAAGGCGACGAUCCGUAGCUGGUUUGAGAGGACGACCAGCCACACUGGGACUGAGACACGGCCCAGACUCCUACGGGAGGCAGCAGUGGGGAAUUUUGGACAAUGGGGGAAACCCUGAUCCAGACCAUCCCGCGUGUGCGAUGAAGGCCUUCGGGUUGUAAAGCACUUUUGUCAGGGAAGAAAAGGUUUCGGAUAAUACCCGGAACUGAUGACGGUACCUGAAGAAUAAGCACCGGCUAACUACGUGCGCAGCAGCCGCGGUAAUACGUAGGGUGCAAGCGUUAAUCGGAAUUACUGGGCGUAAAGCGUGCGCAGGCAGUUCGGAAAGAAAGAUGUGAAAUCCCAGGGCUCAACCUUGGAACUGCAUUUUUAACUACCGAACUAGAGUAUGUCAGAGGGGGGGGUGGAAUUCCACGUGUAGCAGUGAAAUGCGGUAGAUAUGUGGAGGAACACCGGAUGGCGAAGGCAGCCC
rnacentral:rRNA from 2 species